rnacentral:rRNA from 1 species
GAAGGAAAUUAAGUACGGAAGUUCCUGAUUUCACGCUGUCAAGAAAAGCCUCUAGGAAGAGUAGUACUGCCCGUACCGCAAACCGACACAGGUAGAUGAGGAGAGAAUCCUAAGGUGAGCGAGAGAACUCUCGUUAAGGAACUCGGCAAAAUGACCCCGUAACUUCGGGAGAAGGGGUGCUCUAUUAGGGUGCAAGCCCGAGAGAGCCGCAGUGAAUAGGCCCAGGCGACUGUUUAGCAAAAACACAGGUCUCUGCAAAACCGUAAGGUGACGUAUAGGGGCUGACGCCUGCCCGGUGCUGGAAGGUUAAGAGGAGUGCUUAGCUUCGGCGAAGGUACGAAUUGAAGCCCCAGUAAACGGCGGCCGUAACUAUAACGGUCCUAAGGUAGCGAAAUUCCUUGUCGGGUAAGUUCCGACCCGCACGAAAGGCGCAACGAUCUGGGCACUGUCUCAACGAGAGACUCGGUGAAAUUAUAGUACCUGUGAAGAUGCAGGUUACCCGCGACAGGACGGAAAGACCCCGUGGAGCUUUACUGCAACCUGAUAUGGAAUGUUUGUACCGCUUGUACAGGAUAGGUAGGAGCCGAAGAGACGUGUGCGCUAGCAUACGAGGAGGCAAUGGUGGGAUACUACCCUGGCUGUAUGACCAUUCUAACCCGCCACGCUUAGCGCGUGGGGAGACAGUGUCAGGUGGGCAGUUUGACUGGGGCGGUCGCCUCCUAAAGAGUAACGGAGGCGCCCAAAGGUUCCCUCAGAAUGGAUGGAAAUCAUUCGCAGAGUGUAAAGGCACAAGGGAGCUUGACUGCGAGACUGACAAGUCGAGCAGGGACGAAAGUCGGGCUUAGUGAUCCGGUGGUUCCGCAUGGAAGGGCCAUCGCUCAACGGAUAAAAGCUACCCCGGGGAUAACAGGCUUAUCUCCCCCAAGAGUCCACAUCGACGGG